AGUGAACGCUGGCGGCAGGCCUAAUACAUGCAAGUCGAACGGCAGCACAGCAGAGCUUGCUCUGUGGGUGGCGAGUGGCGGACGGGUGAGGAAUACAUGGGAAUCUGCCCAGUCGUGGGGGAUAACGUAUGGAAACGUACGCUAAUACCGCAUGCGCCCUUUGGGGGAAAGCCGGGGACCUUCGGGCCUGGCGCGAUUGGAUGAGCCCAUGUUCGAUUAGCUAGUUGGCGGGGUAAAGGCCCACCAAGGCGACGAUCGAUAGCUGGUCUGAGAGGAUGAUCAGCCACACUGGGACUGAGACACGGCCCAGACUCCUACGGGAGGCAGCAGUAGGGAAUAUUGGACAAUGGGCGCAAGCCUGAUCCAGCCAUGCCGCGUGAGUGAAGAAGGCCCUCGGGUUGUAAAGCUCUUUUGUCCGGAAAGAAAAGCAUUCGGUUAAUACCCGGGUGUUCUGACGGUACCGGAAGAAUAAGCACCGGCUAACUUCGU
rnacentral:rRNA from 1 species